rnacentral:misc_RNA from 1 species
CCUAGAGUUGUAGGCUUUGCCUGCUAUCUCUUACCCAUGUCUUUUGAGUACUUACGUUUCCUCGGCGGGUCCGCCCGCCGAUUGGACAAUUUUAAACCAUUUGCAGUUGCAAUCAGCGUCUGAAAAACUUUAAUAGUUA